rnacentral:rRNA from 1 species
CCUACGGGAGGCAGCAGUGGGGAAUAUUGGACAAUGGGCGAAAGCCUGAUCCAGCAAUGCCGCGUGAGUGAUGAAGGCCUUAGGGUUGUAAAGCUCUUUUACCCGGGAUGAUAAUGACAGUACCGGGAGAAUAAGCUCCGGCUAACUCCGUGCCAGCAGCCGCGGUAAUACGGAGGGAGCUAGCGUUAUUCGGAAUUACUGGGCGUAAAGCGUACGUAGGCGGCUUUGCAAGUUAGAGGUGAAAGCCUGGAGCUCAACUCCAGAACUGCCUUUAAAACUGCAUCGCUUGAAUCCAGGAGAGGUGAGUGGAAUUCCGAGUGUAGAGGUGAAAUUCGUAGAUAUUCGGAAGAACACCAGUGGCGAAGGCGGCUCACUGGACUGGUAUUGACGCUGAGGUACGAAAGCGUGGGGAGCAAACAGGAUUAGAUACCCUGGUAGUCCACGCCGUAAACGAUGAUAACUAGCUGUCAGGGCUACUUAGUGUCGUUUGGUUGGGUCGGCGAGCGUAACGUACAUUAAGUUAACUUCCGUCCGUCGGGGUAGGUACGGCCGGCCGAACGGUUAAAACCGUUAACGUAAACGGAAAGUUAGUACGGCGUGAGACGUGCCGACGGACGACGACGAGGGAGGUAGG